UCCAGACUCCUACGGGAGGCAGCAGUGGGGAAUAUUGGACAAUGGGGGGAACCCUGAUCCAGCGACGCCGCGUGAGUGAAGAAGUAUUUCGGUAUGUAAAGCUCUAUCAGCAGGGAAGAAAGAAAUGACGGUACCUGACUAAGAAGCCCCGGCUAACUACGUGCCAGCAGCCGCGGUAAUACGGAGGAUGCGAGCGUUAUCCGGAUUUAUUGGGUUUAAAGGGUGCGUAGGCGGAAUGCCAAGUCAGCGGUAAAAUCGCGGGGCUAAACCUCGCUCCGCCGUUGAAACUGGCGUUCUUGAGUGGGCGAGAAGUAUGCGGAAUGCGUGGUGUAGCGGUGAAAUGCAUAGAUAUCACGCAGAACUCCGAUUACGAAGGCAGCAUACCGGCGCCCAACUGACGCUGAAGCACGAAAGCGUGGGUAUCGAACAGGAUUAGAUACCCGCGUAA
rnacentral:rRNA from 1 species